AUUGAACGCUGGCGGCAGGCCUAACACAUGCAAGUCGAGCGAGCGGCGGACGGGUGAGUAAUGUAUGGGGACUGCCCGAUAGAGGGGGAUAACUACUGGAAACGGUGGCUAAUACCGCAUACUAUCGGAUAACCCAUAGGGGAUUAGCUAGUCGGUGGGGUAAAGGCUCACCUAGGCGACGAUCUCUAGCUGGUCUGAGAGGAUGAUCAGCAACAGUGGGACGGAGACACGGCCCAGAGUCGUACGGAGGCAGCAGUGGUGAAUAUUGCACAAUGGGCGGAAGCCUGAUGCAGCCAUGCCGCGGGUAUGAAGAAGGCCUUAGGGUUGUAAAGUACUUUCAGCGGGGAGGCGUUACCCGCAGAAGAAGCACCGGCUAAAUCCGUGCCAGCAGCCGCGGUAAUUC
rnacentral:rRNA from 1 species